UAUUGAUUGGUGCAAUUGGCCUGGGAUGGAACGGCUACUUUGUGGACCUCUGGGCAGGGGUUUUGUCAGGGCGACAGACUGGCCUCUUUCCUCAGGGCAACUGCAGCUUGCUGGAGGUGUGAUUAAAGCACUCAGGAGAACAGAGAAGAGCGAAACAAGACAAAUGCCCACCUAGGAGAGCUUGUAAUUUAUAGAUUCAAU
rnacentral:lncRNA from 1 species